UCCCAAUUCAACUGUGAGCAUUAUGGCACAUGCACUAGUGGGUAAUGAGAUGAUAAACCAGAAUGUGUUUACGGUUAAUUGAUCUUCAGCCUGCUUUGAAAUUUUUGUAGUUGUCAUUUGUGCUUCUUGGAGAUCUUCCUAGUUUACUUUGUCAUACAUGUUGAUUUAGUGUACCAUUACAAUGGGAUCUGCAGCAACCUUUAUAGAUUGUGACGAGAGCUGGAAAUUAUUAUUGGUCACAAGGAAAGGAUCUUUGUAUUUAUGGGAUCUCUUCAAUAGGAACUGUCUCCUCCAUGAUUCAUUAGCGUCUCUAAUCACUUUGGACCUUAGCUCGUCUCCGCAAGGGUUGUAGAUGAUUGCUUCCCUACGUCAAAAUUUUCUAGUUCUUGGAAUUUGGGUUCAAUUCAGGCUGGUGAGUUAGCUGCACUGUAGGUGGAUGUUAGGAAAUAUUUGGCCAGAAAGCCCAGCUGGAAUAGGUAACUGAUGAUGGAGUGCAGACACGUGCUCAUUUAGAAGCUUAGUUGGUAUUGUCUUUGGCUUUGAAAUCCUCUAAUGAAUGUCACCGGAGCCUUCUUUCCUACAUACGUUUCCUAGCAAGAGAAGCAGAUGAGUCUUGUGUGCGAGAAGUCUGUGAAAGUUUUCUCAGGCCAUCAUCUAGAAUGGCUUCAGAUUCCAAGAAUCCUUCUUGGGAUCCUUAUGUGCUUUCGUUGAGGAAAAGAAGAAAAAAUAGUGGGAUGGUAUGAAAAUAUUUAGGUUGUUUCAAGUUAGAAUGCUCUAAUGUUGUGAACCAUUUUGUAGUUGUGUUUGAGGACUUUUGUUAAAUGGUUUUGUAUAUGCUAAAAGUUCUAUGUUUCACAAUAUUUGUGCCCAAGUAAGUACAAGAAUAGUGUCAUUAGCUUCAAUGAGUUUUCUUUUGUAAUGGCAAAGUCAGCCUUAGAAUUUCUAGACCCCUAGAAUUUCUAGACAUUAGUUUGUCAUCAUAACCAAUCUCUUUUUGUAAACAAUGUAGACACUUUAUUUUGUCUUUGAAUAUUUUGAAAUUCAUUGGGUUUCGAAUUUUAAUUUUGAUAGUACAAUUGAGCCUU